GUACUGCUGAAGUUGUAGCAGGAACUACUAGUCCUUCACUGAGGCAUGUAGCCACCUUGCCAUACAGUCUGUGGUAACUUUUAGGCAUUCCUUCAUCAAUCGCAGCCUCCAUCCCAACUCUUUCAGAUCUUUCUACUAGUCCCUCAGUACCUGGACCAAAGUAUCGGCUGCAGAAAAUUCCUGAAACAUUUUCAUUUGCCCAGAUCCACGGAAUUGUGAAAUAUGAUCUGAAAUCUGUUGUUUAAGUCUAACAAAAUCUUCCUCAUUGACUGAUGAAACUUGUUUUUGACCUUUCAAAACGUGAAAUAUCUGGACUGGAUUCAUGCUGACUGCAGUUCUGUUGAAAGUAGUGUUGCCUGGGCAAAAUGCCAUCACUGCCAUCUACAUGAUCUACUAAUUGUAGAUCUUUUGGCCGCUCCUCUGAAUCUAACAAGGGCUGGAUGGACUCGGAUCUUGAGAAGACUUGGACUGAUGGAACUUGGUGUCUGUAGCCACUGUAUACCAGAGCAGAAUACUGGACAGUGCUUGAAGUGUUGUGUGAAGAUUCAUUUUCAUCAACGUGCUAGAAAUGCUUGGCCUAGAAUGACAUGCAUAAAGACCCCCCAAUACCACUGCUGUGUCCUUCAGUAUUAUUUUUUCCUUUUUGAACAGGUCCAAUGAUUUCAGAUCUUCUGCA
rnacentral:antisense_RNA from 1 species